rnacentral:rRNA from 1 species
GAUGAACGCUAGCGGCAGGCCUAAUACAUGCAAGUCGAACGAUACCAGAGAGCUUGCUUUCUGGGAAAGUGGCGCACGGGUGCGUAACGCGUAUGCAACCUACCUUAAUCAGGGGGAUAGCCUCUCGAAAGAGAGAUUAACACCGCAUAACAUCAUUUUACGGCAUCGUAGAAUGAUCAAAUAUUUAUAGGAUUAAGAUGGGCAUGCGUGACAUUAGCUAGUUGGUGAGGUAACGGCUCACCAAGGCUACGAUGUCUAGGGGAUCUGAGAGGAUGACCCCCCACACUGGUACUGAGACACGGACCAGACUCCUACGGGAGGCAGCGGUAAGGAAUAUUGGUCAAUGGAGGCAACUCUGAACCAGCCAUGCCGCGUGCAGGAAGACGGCCCUAUGGGUUGUAAACUGCUUUUAUACGAGAAUAAACCUCUCUACGUGUAGGGAGUUGAAUGUACUGUAAGAAUAAGGAUCGGCUAACUCCGUGCCAGCCGCCGCGGUAA